rnacentral:lncRNA from 1 species
AGCAGCGCGGCUGGGGCCUGGGAGGCCUGCUGGUCGUUGCCCGUGCGGCCCUGCACCCCCGCCGGGACGGCCUCCCGCGAUGCACCCUCGGGGGCGCCCGGAGCAACGGCCCUAAGCUGCUCAGAGGAGGAUGCAGCAGAGACCGCCAGGACGAUGCGUUAGAGAUCCCGACAGCAGCCUGCCUCCCGAGCAAGCGCAUCAGCCAGGAGCAGCCGCCGGGAAAAGUUUGCUAACCUCUGGCUUAGACUGUCGCCUGAAGUCCGGAAGCCCUUCUCUUGCUCCAACUGUAUGGCCCGUAUGCACAAACAAAAUUGGGACCCUUUUCAGCAAGAAAGGAGAGGGGAGAAGAAAUGGAUUUGGAUAGGCAGUCAACAGUGUCUGUUUGGUUUUGUUUUGUUUUGUUUUGUUUUGUUUAAGUUUUAUUUGAGAAAGUGAGUGGUGGGGAGGAGUAGAGGGAGAGAAAGUCUUAUCCAGACUCCUCACUGAGAGGGAGCCCAACAUGGGGGCUCCACCCUGAGAUCACGACUUGAGCUGAAACCGAGUCGGAUGCUUAACUGACUGCACCACCCAGGCACCCCAACAGUGUCUACUUUAUGUCACCAUACAUCUUCUCUAGAAUUUUCAAUGAGCUCUCUCAGGACAGCUUCAUCUUUAAGUGUUCAUAGAUAAUGGCAACUCCUGUUUCAAUUGGAAAUUAAAAAGUAAGCUGGUUUUCACAAUCCUUCAGGCUAGGCAGAAAGUUUGGUAAAAGGAUUAAUGUAAUUGUUUCUUCAUUGUUUACAAAAGAAGUCCCAGCUAGCGUGGCACACAAAAUUCCCUGUGUCCUGUUUAUCCCUGCACAUCCCCUGCCACCUCCAGUACAUGACCCUGUUGCUUCUACCACUGUGAAACGCUUAAGAUUUCCUGAAUAUGCCACACCUUUUCCUGCCUCUUUGCUUUUCUCCACGCUUUUACUUCUACGCAGAACACUCUUCCCUCUUAUCCACAUGGAAAAUCUUUAGGUGAGACUUUAAGGCAUAACUCAAUUGUUAUUUUCUUUGAAAAACCUUAUAGCAUCACAUUUGGGGUUCCAUCUUACUUUGGUGUCUUUGCUGGGGUUUAUAAAAAGAAGAAUCUGAGACAAGGUUCACAUUCAUAUUCACUUAGUUUGGGACAUGAUCUCAGGGGACAAAAUUUGGGGGUAGAGGACUAGAAAUAAAACAGGGUAACCAAAAAAUCAGUACAGAGGUACAUUACUGAUCUGGUUACCUUUAUAGGCAAUAGGGGCCUAGGAGAGUAUCUAAGAGGGCAGAGUUAGGAAUUGUUCGCUGCCACAUAGAUGGAAGGAAGCAUCUUGUUCCCUACUGAUAUUGUUGCCUUAGGGCCUAUUAACUCUCCUACUUCCAGGUUUGCAGAGCAGAAAAGCCCCAGGGUGGAAAGUAAGAGGUAGUAGCUAUCAUCUAUCAGUCACGUUGCCCAACUGGAUUGGGGUCAGCGUAAGAGAUGUCUAGUAUACUCCACAAUGUGUGUCACCCAGGUCUGCUAGUGGCCUGCCUUACAUGUAGUCUAUCAGGGAGCCUUCAAGGCAGUAGCUGACAGCAAUGCCCACAAAAGAUCUGACACAGGAGCGUUAGAGAAACAAGCAACGUUCCCUUACCAGCUGCAAUUGCUCUCAAGGUCAUAAUUAAUAUUCUUCCUCUCUCUCUCCCACCACUCUGCUUCAUCUAGGUUGCUUAUCUGGUGGCUUACCCGCUUCUUCAUCUUGGAGGGGCGAAAGCCCUACGUUGCUUUAGCCUGAUUGGAUAAAGGCUGUUGCAUUUGUCCAUUUAUGGUUAUCAGCAGGUGUGGAAGCAUCUUGCUACUCAACUUAUCAGUGUAGCAUGAUGUUCUAUAGAAAGUCAAUGUUCUUGUGGACCACAUAUAUUGUGACAGAAAGCCGCAAGUUAACAUAGCUCUGGGGCAAGAAAAUGAGUAUGUUCUGCUCCCCUUCCCACAUAAAUGAUAACUGCUUUUGCUCCUUUUUACUGACAGGGAUUGAGAAGAACCUAUUCACUAAAGCAAUAACUAUGGACUAGGUGCCAAAAGCUGUGUGAUUAUCUUCUAUCAAAUAUGCCAUAUCUGGCACAGCAGCUGUGAUGAAGAUAUUCUUAGAUUAAAUUCAUAGUAGUCCACCAUAACUUUCUAUGAUGGAUCUGGUUUUUGCAGUGGCUAAACAGGCUAAAUAGGUGAGUCGAACAGAGAUAUGAUGGCUACCAACACCUGCGCAUCCCUUAAGUCUUCAGUGGGGACACUGGCCUCUAUAUUUCCUUUCAGGAUGCUAUAUUCCUUCAGAUUCACUAUCUUAGCCAGUCAGAAUGUGCAGCUUCAGGGGCUUCCACUGGUCCUUCCACUUAUAAUAAUUUUCACUGCACAGGACAAGAAACCAAAAUGAAGUUUCUUCUAGUUUCUAAGUAUAUCCCUUCCAGUCAUUCACUUGGAAACCAGGGAGAUAAGCAAAACCGGGUCUAUGACUUCAUGGGAGCACUGUGAGAGGAAUCUGACCUAUCCGGUUUCCUUGUGUGUGUCCUUUUGGAGAAUAAUUGGAAAUAUAUUUGUUGUAUAUAUAUACUUGUUCUACUAGUGGUGGGUCUCAGCCUCCCCUUCAAAUGAUGAGUUUCAGGUCUGAAACUUGCUUGAUCUGUAAAGUGAGUGAGAGCUUGUGACAUUUCAUGGAGAUAGCUGGCAUCAGCCUUCGGUUCAGCAGCUGUUGACUGUUUCUGGUUAUACACAUAGGUCAGGUAACACCCUAGUGGAUGCUCAUUUAACGUGCCCUGAGGAACACCAUGGUCUAUUAAUCAUCAUCACAGAGUCCUGUGGGUGAAGAUUCGCUGGUUGCCACUCUGACCUUGCAGCCC